GAAUAUUAGGGCGUCUACUUCGGUAGGGCCUGACCUCCACUUUCUAACUCUGUGCACUCAUUUGGCGGAAAAGGGAAUAGCGAUUGUUUAACUACGAUUGCGACUUCUCGUUUCUGCGGCUGACUUUUAAACACCAGUCAAAGUAUGUAUAUAAAUAAAAUAAGAAAAACUUUCAACAACGGAUCUCUUGGCUCU
rnacentral:misc_RNA from 1 species